AGAACGAACGCUGGCGGCAUGCCUAAUACAUGCAAGUCGAACGAACUCUUCGGAGUUAGUGGCGCACGGGUGCGUAACGCGUGGGAAUCUGCCCCUUGGUUCGGAAUAACAGUUGGAAACGACUGCUAAUACCGGAUGAUGACGAAAGUCCAAAGAUUUAUCGCCAAGGGAUGAGCCCGCGUAGGAUUAGCUAGUUGGUGAGGUAAAGGCUCACCAAGGCAACGAUCCUUAGCUGGUCUGGAGAGGAUGAUCAGCCACACGUGGGACU
rnacentral:rRNA from 1 species